CGGGACGGGUGAGUAAUGUCUGGGAAACGUAGCCGAUGGAGGGGGAUAACUACUGGAAACGGUAGCUAAUACCGCAUAACGUCGCAAGACCAAAGAGGGGGACCUUCGGGCCUCUUGCCAUCGGAUGUGCCCAGAUGGGAUUAGCUAGUAGGUGGGGUAACGGCUCACCUAGGCGACGAUCCCUAGCUGGUCUGAGAGGAUGACCAGCCACACUGGAACUGAGACACGGUCCAG
rnacentral:rRNA from 1 species